rnacentral:rRNA from 2 species
GACGAACCGUGCGAACGUUGUUCGGAAUCACUGGGCUUAAAGGGCGCGUAGGCGGCUUAUCAAGUCAGGGGUGAAAUACUUCAGCUUAACUGGAGAAGUGCCUUUGAUACUGGUAAGCUCGAGGGAGGUAGGGGUCUUUGGAACUUCUGGUGGAGCGGUGAAAUGCGUUGAUAUCAGAAGGAACGCCGGUGGCGAAAGCGAAGGACUGGACCUCUUCUGACGCUGAGGCGCGAAAGCUAGGGGAGCAAACGGG